rnacentral:rRNA from 1 species
CCUACGGGUGGCAGCAGUGGGGGAUAUUGCACAAUGGGGGGAACCCUGAUGCAGCGACGCCGCGUGGGUGAAGGAGUGCUUCGGCAUGUAAAGCCCUAUCGGCAGGGAAGCAGCACGACGGUACCUGACUCAGAAGCCCCGGCUAACUACGUGCCAGCAGCCGAGGUAAUACGUAGGGGGCGAGUGUUAUCCGGAUUCACUGGGGGUAAAGGGAGCGUAGACGGCCAUGCAAGCCAGGGGGGAAAGCCCGGGGCCCAACCCCGGGACUGCCCUUGAAACUGCAUGGCUGGAGUGCGGGAGGGGCAGGCGGAAUGCCUGGUGUAGCGGUGAAAUGCGUAGAUAUCAGGAGGAACACCGGCGGCGAAGGCGGACUGCUGGACUGCGACUGACGUUGAGGCACGAAAGCGUGGGGAGCGAACAGGAUUAGAUACCCUAGUAGUC